CCUACGGGUGGCAGCAGUGAGGAAUAUUGGUCAAUGGACGAGAGUCUGAACCAGCCAAGUAGCGUGAAGGAUGACUGCCCUCUGGGUUGUAAACUUCUUUUAUCUGGGACUCAAAUGUUCACCUUGUGGGAUUUUGUAUGUACCAUAUGAAUAAGGAUAGGCUAACUCCGUGCCAGCAGCCGCGGUAAUACGGAGGAUCCGAGCGUUAUCCGGAUUUAUUGGGUUUAAAGGGAGCUGAGGUGGAGUGUUAAGUCAGUUGUGAAAGUGUGCGGCUCAACCGUAAAAUUGCAGUUGAAACUGGCAGUCUUGAGUACAGUAGAGGUGGGCGGAAUUCGUUGUGUAGCGGUGAAAUGCUUAGAUAUCACGAAGAACUUCGAUUGCGAAGGCAGUUCACUGGACUGCAACUGACACUGAGGCUCGAAAGUGUGGGUAUCAAACAGGAUUAGAUACCCCUGUAGUC
rnacentral:rRNA from 1 species